rnacentral:rRNA from 1 species
AUCGGAAACUGGAUAACUUGAGUGCAGAAGAGGGUAGUGGAACUCCAUGUGUAGCGGUGGAAUGCGUAGAUAUAUGGAAGAACACCAGUGGCGAAGGCGGCUACCUGGUCUGCAACUGACGCUGAGACUCGAAAGCAUGGGUAGCGAACAGGAUUAGAUACCCUGGUAGUCCAUGCCGUAAACGAUGAGUGCUAGGUGUUGGAGGGUUUCCGCCCUUCAGUGCCGGAGCUAACGCAUUAAGCACUCCGCCUGGGGAGUACGACCGCAAGGUUGAAACUCAAAGGAAUUGACGGGGGCCCGCACAAGCGGUGGAGCAUGUGGUUUAAUUCGAAGCUACGCGAAGAACCUUACCAGGUCUUGACAUCUUGCGCCAACCCUAGAGAUAGGGCGUUUCCUUCGGGAACGCAAUGACAGGUGGUGCAUGGUCGUCGUCAGCUCGUGUCGUGAGAUGUUGGGUUAAGUCCCGCAACGAGCGCAACCCUUGUUACUAGUUGCCAGCAUUAAGUUGGGCACUCUAGUGAGACUGCCGGUGACAAACCGGAGGAAGGUGGGGACGACGUCAGAUCAUCAUGCCCCUUAUGACCUGGGCUACACACGUGCUACAAUGGACGGUACAACGAGUCGCRAACUCGCGAGGGCAAGCAAAUCUCUUAAAACCGUUCUCAGUUCGGACUGCAGGCUGCAACUCGCCUGCACGAAGUCGGAAUCGCUAGUAAUCGCGGAUCAGCAUGCCGCGGUGAAUACGUUCCCGGGCCUUGUACACACCGCCCGUCACACCAUGAGAGUUUGUAACACCCAAAGUCGG